GGGCUAACAUCAUAUAUUUUUUGUCUCAGCUUCCUCAGUAUCAUAUUUCGUUCUUUCUCAAGUGCAUACCAAAUUAAUUUGACAGACUUAUAUGGGUUAUGGUAAUCAUAGAGAUCAACUGAUAACUCAUUUAGAAUGAAGUUCUUAUACAAGUAAUCACUUUCAUUCCAGAUAGCUAUUUCAAUAGUCAGUUUAUCUCUUUCAUCUUUUUUAGCUUUUUUCGACACCACUAUGAUAUCGGUUUUUAGAAUGUGGACAAUUUUUCUCAUAGUGAGGAAAAAUUCCAUCUUAUGUUG
rnacentral:lncRNA from 1 species